UUGAAAGAUUUCUUCGGAAUGAAUUUGAUUUAGUUUAGUGGCGGACGGGUGAGUAACGCGUGAGUAACCUGCCUUCAAGAGGGGGAUAACAUUCUGAAAAGAAUGCUAAUACCGCAUGACAUAUCGGAACCACAUGGUUUUGAUAUCAAAGAUUUUAUCGCUUGAAGAUGGACUCGCGUCCGAUUAGUUAGUUGGUGAGGUAACGGCUCACCAAGACCGCGAUCGGUAGCCGGACUGAGAGGUUGAACGGCCACAUUGGGACUGAGACACGGCCCAGACUCCUACGGGAGGCAGCAGUGGGGGAUAUUGCGCAAUGGGGGCAACCCUGACGCAGCAACGCCGCGUGAAGGAUGAAGGUUUUCGGAUUGUAAACUUCUUUUAUUAAGGACGAAAAUUGACGGUACUUAAUGAAUAAGCUCCGGCUAACUACGUGCCAGCAGCCGCGGUAAUACGUAGGGAGCAAGCGUUGUCCGGAUUUACUGGGUGUAAAGGGUGCGUAGGCGGCUUUGCAAGUCAGAUGUGAAAUCUAUGGGCUCAACCCAUAAACUGCAUUUGAAACUGUAGAGCUUGAGUGAAGUAGAGGCAGGCGGAAUUCCCCGUGUAGCGGUGAAAUGCGUAGAGAUGGGGAGGAACACCAGUGGCGAAGGCGGCCUGCUGGGCUUUAACUGA
rnacentral:rRNA from 1 species